UGCCUUUGAUUUGAACAAAUUGGGAGGGGCUCAGCUGUCUGUAUCACUCUGUUAAACUCUGUCCUAGAAGAAGAAUGAGGUGUGUAAAAUCUGCACUUCUUCCUCUGCCUAAAUCCACAAGUCAUUUUAACCCCUUCAUUAUUGGUUUCCCUCCUUAAGUUAUCCAAGAACAAAGCUACUUCUGUCAAAGUGCUUUUUUCUCUAGCUAACACAAUUGCAGUUGGAUCUAG